CUCCUCUUAGCAUUGCACCUGGAGAGUUUCCAGUAUUCUACCAGACUCGACUACGGAGGGAGAGUCAAGCAGAGGCAUAUCCAUUCCAUUCCUAGCUUGGGCAGUGACUAGUGAGUGGAAGACAAUCUGCUACAAAU
rfam:Ornithorhynchus anatinus chromosome 3, whole genome shotgun sequence.